rnacentral:rRNA from 1 species
UACAGGGGGGGCAAGCGUUGUUCGGAAUUACUGGGCGUAAAGGGCUCGUAGGCGGCCAACUAAGUCACACGUGAAAUCCCCAGGCUUAACCUGGGAACUGCGUGUGAUACUGGAUGGCUUGAAUUCGGGAGAGGGAUGCAGAAUUCCAGGUGUAGCGGUGAAAUGCGUAGAUAUCAGGAGGAACACCGGUGGCGAAGGCGGCUUUCUGGACAGUAACUGACGCUGAGGCGCGAAAGCUAGGGGAGCAAACAGG